rnacentral:rRNA from 1 species
GAUGAACGCUAGCGACAGGCUUAACACAUGCAAGUCGAGGGGCAGCACAGGGUAGCAAUACUUGGGUGGCGACCGGCGCACGGGUGAGUAACGCGUAUGCAACUUACCUAUCAGAGGGGGAUAGCCCGGCGAAAGUCGGAUUAAUACCCCAUGAAACAGGGGUCCCGCAUGGGAAUAUUUGUUAAAGAUUCAUCGCUGAUAGAUAGGCAUGCGUUCCAUUAGGCAGUUGGCGGGGUAACGGCCCACCAAACCGACGAUGGAUAGGGGUUCUGAGAGGAAGGUCCCCCACAUUGGUACUGAGACACGGACCAAACUCCUACGGGAGGCAGCAGUGAGGAAUAUUGGUCAAUGGCCGAGAGGCUGAACCAGCCAAGUCGCGUGAAGGAAGAAGGAUCUAUGGUUUGUAAACUUCUUUUAUAGGGGAAUAAAGUGGAGGACGUGUCCUUUUUUGUAUGUACCCUAUGAAUAAGCAUCGGCUAACUCCGUGC